AUUGAACGCUGGCGGCAGGCCUAACACAUGCAAGUCGAACGGUAACAGGAAGCAGCUUGCUGCUUUGCCGACGCGUGGCGGACGGGUGAGUCAUGUCUGUGAAACUGCCCGAUGGAGGGGGAUAACUACUGGAAACGGUAGCUAAUACCGCAUAACGUCGCAAGCCCAAAGAGGGGGACCUUAGGGCCUCUUGCCAUUCGAUUUGCCCAGAUGGGAUUAGCUAGUAGGUGGGGUAACGGCUCACCUAGGCGACGAUCCCUAGCUGGUCUGAGAGGAUGACCAGCCACACUGGAACUGAGACACGGUCCAGACUCCUACGGGAGGCAGCAGUGGGGAAUAUUGCACAAUGGGCGCAAGCCUGAUGCAGCCAUGCCGCGUGCAUGAAGAAGGCCUUCGGGUUGUAAAGUACUUUCAGCGGGGAGGAAGGGAGUAAAGUUAAUACCUUUGCUCAUUGACGUUACCCGCAGAAGAAGCACCGGCUAACUCCGUG
rnacentral:rRNA from 1 species